UACGGAGGGUGCAAGCGUUAUCCGGAUUCACUGGGUUUAAAGCGUGCGUAGGUGGUGAGUUAAGUCUGUCGUGAAAGCCCCGGGCUCAACCUGGGAAUGGCGAUGGAUACUGGCUCGCUAGAGUGCGGUAGAGGAGAGUGGAAUUCCCGGUGUAGCAGUGAAAUGCGUAGAGAUCGGGAGGAACAUCAGUUGCGAAGGCGGCUCUCUGGACCAGCACUGACACUGAGGCACGAAAGCGUGGGGAGCAAACAGG
rnacentral:rRNA from 1 species